AUGAAUUUACUUUGUUUAUUUGCAAUUUUGUUUAUUAAGUGUUGCGUGAAGAAGAUGUAAUGAUUUAGCAUUCAUAAACAAAUAUGUACAUAUAACAUAAACGAAAAAUAUUCUAGUCAGAAUAUUGAUGUAUGAAAAUUGUUUUAGACAGACCAGCUGUCGGUCGGUGCCUUGUCGAUGUCUCCAUGAAAAUAGUUAAUGGAUGAAAUGGAAAAAGGAAUGAAUGAAAUGGAAAGGAAGUUUAUCACUAUCAUAUUGUGAUUAUUUUUCGAAAUUUCCCUUCACGACAGAUUCACUGAAAAAAGAAUUAAAAGAUCUGCAACGUACUAUUAAUAAAGCAACUGAACAGAUAACAUCAUUAAUAUAAGACCAAUUGCAUUAGAAGAAAAAUAAAAUCCGACAAAAUGGGAGACAAGGUAAUAUAGACACAUUCAGGGGCUGUUCUUUAAAAUGCCGGCGGGACAAUUGGAUAAAUUACAUUCAUGCCAAGCCACAAUUAUCCAUUUAGUACAUU